AACGAACGCUGGCGGCGUGCUUAACACAUGCAAGUCAAACGAGAAAGGGGGGGGCAACUCCCCUGAGUAAAGUGGCGCACGGGUGAGUAACGCGUGGGUAACCUACCCCUCGGCGGGGGAUAACUACUCGAAAGGGUGGCUAAUACCGCAUGAGACCACGAGGUCUUCGGACCUUGAGGCCAAAGGCUGCAUCGGCUUGCCGGUGUAGUCACCGGAGGAUGGGCCCGCGUCCGAUUAGCUAGUUGGUGAGGUAAUGGCUCACCAAGGCGACGAUCGGUAGCUGGUCUGAGAGGAUGAUCAGCCACACUGGAACUGGAACACGGUCCAGACUCCUACGGGAGGCAGCAGUGAGGAAUAUUGCGCAAUGGGGGAAACCCUGACGCAGCAACGCCGCGUGGGUGAAGAAGGCCUUCGGGUCGUAAAGCCCUUUCGGACGGGACGAAAAUUCCGCGGGGACAAGCCGCGGAACUUGACGGUACCGUAGGAAGAAGCACCGGCUAACUCCGUGCCAGCAGCCGCGGUAAUACGGAGGGUGCAAGCGUUGUUCGGAAUUACUGGGCGUAAAGCGCGUGUAGGCGGCCUUGCAAGUCGGGCGUGAAAGCCCUCGGCUUAACCGGGGAAGUGCGUCUGAAACUGCUUGGCUUGAGUAC
rnacentral:rRNA from 1 species